rnacentral:tRNA from 1 species
GGACCUUUAGCUCAGUUGGUUAGAGCGAUGCGCUGUUAACGUAAGGGUCACAGGUUCAAGUCCUGUAGGGUCCGCCA